AGUGAACGCUGGCGGUAGGCCUAACACAUGCAAGUCCAACGGCAGCACAGUAAGAGCUUGCUCUUACGGGUGGCGAGUGGCGGACGGGUGAGGAAUACAUCGGAAUCUACUUUUUCGUGGGGGAUAACGUAGGGAAACUUACGCUAAUACCACAUACGACCUACGGGUGAAAGCAGGGGAUCUUCGGACCUUGCGCGAUUGAAUGAGCCGAUGUCGGAUUAGCUAGUUGGCGGGGUAAAGGCCCACCAAGGCGACGAUCCGUAGCUGGUCUGAGAGGAUGAUCAGCCACACUGGAACUGAGACACGGUCCAGACUCCUACGGGAGGCAGCAGUGGGGAAUAUUGGACAAUGGGCGCAAGCCUGAUCCAGCCAUACCGCGUGGGUGAAGAAGGCCUUCGGGUUGUAAAGCCCUUUUGUUAGGAAAGAAAAGCAGCAGGCUAAUACCCCGCUGUUCUGACGGUACCCAAAGAAUAAGCACCGGCUAACUUCGUG
rnacentral:rRNA from 1 species